rnacentral:rRNA from 1 species
GAUGAACGCUAGCUACAGGCUUAACACAUGCAAGUCGAGGGGAAACGACAUCGAAAGCUUGCUUUUGAUGGGCGUCGACCGGCGCACGGGUGAGUAACGCGUAUCCAACCUGCCCAUCACUUGGGAAUAACCUUGCGAAAGUAAGACUAAUACCCAAUGAUAUCCCACGAAGGCAUCGGAAUGGGAUUAAAGAUUUAUCGGUGAUGGAUGGGGAUGCGUCUGAUUAGCUUGUUGGCGGGGUAACGGCCCACCAAGGCAACGAUCAGUAGGGGUUCUGAGAGGAAGGUCCCCCAGAUUGGAACUGAGACACGGUCCAAACUCCUACGGGAGGCAGCAGUGAGGAAUAUUGGUGAAUGGGCGAGAGCCUGAACCAGCCAAGUAGCGUGCAGGAAGACGGCCCUAGGGGUUGUAAACUGCUUUUAUAAGGGAAUAAAGUGGGUCACGUGUGACUUUUUGCAUGUACCUUAUGAAUAAGGACCGGCUAAUUCCGUG